rnacentral:rRNA from 1 species
AGCGAACGCUGGCGGCAGGCCUAACACAUGCAAGUCGAACGAACCUUUCGGGGUUAGUGGCGGACGGGUGAGUAACACGUGGGAACGUGCCUUUAGGUUCGGAAUAACUCAGGGAAACUUGUGCUAAUACCGAAUGUGCCCUUCGGGGGAAAGAUUAAUCGCCUUUAGAGCGGCCCGCGUCUGAUUAGCUAGUUGGUUGAGGUAAUGGCUCACCAAGGCGACGAUCAGUAGCUGGUCUGAGAGGAUGAUCAGCCACAUUGGGACUGAGACACGGCCCAAACUCCUACGGGAGGAAGCAGUGGGGAAUCUUGCGAAAUGGGCGAAAGCCUGACGCAGCCAUGCGGGGUGAAUGAUGAAGGUUUUAGGAUUGUAAAAUUCUUUCGCCGGGGACGAUAAUGACGGUACCGGAGAAGAAGCCCCGGCUAACUUCGUG